rnacentral:rRNA from 1 species
CCGACUGCUAUUGGGUGAGGAUAAGCAUGCGGGGUGGAUGGGAUACUUAAAUUUUCAUGGCAACUGUCAGUAACACCAUGAUCACUUCCUAUGGAAAAAAAUACCUCGGAAACUGAGGAUAAUUUUCAUAGUGAAAGGCUGGAAAAGUUUUCAAUGAAAGGGAUAAGAAAAUGGUUCUAUCUGCUAUAGGAUAGGAUCGUGGUCGAUUAUGGUUGUUGGUGAGGUAACGGCUCACAAGCCGAUAAUCGAUAGGGGCCGUGAGAGCGGGAGCCCCGAGAUGGGUACUGAGACAACGACCCAGGCUUUACGAGGCGCAGCAGGCGCGAGACCUCCGCAAUACACGAAAGUGUGACGGGGUUACCCAAAGUGUUCAUUUAUGAACUGUGGUAGGUGAGUAAUAUCCCCUACUAGAAAGGAGAGGGCAAGGCUGGUGCCAGCCGCCGCGGUAAAACCAGCUCUUCAAGUGGUCGGGAUAAUUAUUGGGCUUAAAGUGUCCGUAGCCGGUUUAGUAAGUUCCUGGUAAAAUCGGGUAGCUUAACUAUCCGCAUGCUAGGAAUACUGCUAUACUAGAGGGCGGGAGAGGUCUGAGGUACUACAGGGGUAGGGGUGAAAUCUUAUAAUCCUUGUAGGACCACCAGUAGCGAAGGCGUCAGACUGGAACGCGCCUGACGGUGAGGGACGAAAGCCAGGGGAGCGAACCGGAUUAGAUACCCGGGUAGUCCUGGCCGUAAACGAUGCAUACUAGGUGAUGGCACGGCCAUGAGCCGUGUCAGUGCCGUAGGGAAACCGUUAAGUGUGCCGCCUGGGAAGUACGGUCGCAAGGCUAAAACUUAAAGGAAUUGGCGGGGAAGCACCACAAGGGGUGAAGCCUGCGGUUCAAUUGGACUCAA